rnacentral:lncRNA from 1 species
AGAAAGAAAAAUAAAUCAAAUAUCAAAAGUAAAAUACACAAACACCAAUAUAAACAUAAACAAAAAUAAAAGGAUUAGCAAAGUUACUAAUCCCCGGCAACGGCGCCAAAAUUUGAUGCGUAAAAUAACUAAACACACAAAUUAAACCCUCUUUUUGACAAUUGUAGUAUAGAUGUAAGUAGGGUAUCGUUCUAGGCCGGGGAUU